CCUACGGGAGGCAGCAGUGGGGGAUAUUGCACAAUGGGGGGAACCCUGAUGCAGCGACGCCGCGUGAGCGAAGAAGUACCUCGGUAUGUAAAGCUCUAUCAGCAGGGAAGAAAAUGACGGUACCUGACUAAGAAGCCCCGGCUAAAUACGUGCCAGCAGCCGCGGUAAUACGUAGGGGGCGAGCGUUAUCCGGAUUUACUGGGUGUAAAGGGAGCGUAGACGGUUCUGCAAGUCUGAAGUGAAAGCCCGUG
rnacentral:rRNA from 1 species